CACGAUAGUCGCGACAGUCGAUCGCGAGUGCGAGAAUCGCGACAGUCGCGACAGUGGUCGUGAUCGCGAUAGUCUCGACAGUUGCACGAUAGUUGCGACGGUCGAUCGCGAGUGCGAUAUUUGCGACAGUUGAUCACGAUCUCGAUCGCCAUCAUGAUGAUAGUUGUCGUGAUAGUCGCGACAGUGGUCGUCGGGAGUUUUCGUGAUAGUCGCAGGAGUGGCCUCUCGCUGUGUGCAGGUGUUCCAAUGACUCUUACAGUGUGCAUCUACCUCAUGGAAAGUCCAGAAAAUACAGAAAAGGGGUCCAAACUAGAUGGCAGUUUGACCAACUCUGGCUGGAGAGCUUUUCUGCUCAAGAAGUGGUUCCUGAGGAAGGAGAAGGUGAAAGCCAAGCGGAAGACAUUUGGUGUCCCAUCCAAGGCAUACCCUGUCUCACACUCCAUUCAUGGGAUGGGCUCCACACCACUGAAACGUUGCACUGAAUUGUCAGGUAUCGAUAAGGCAUGGAUUAAUUUACUUUUGAAUGUAGCA
rnacentral:lncRNA from 1 species